UGGGGAAUUUUGGACAAUGGGCGCAAGCCUGAUCCAGCCAUGCCGCGUGCGGGAAGAAGGCCUUCGGGUUGUAAACCGCUUUUGUCAGGGAAGAAAUCUUCUGAGUUAAUACCUCGGGAGGAUGACGGUACCUGAAGAAUAAGCACCGGCUAACUACGUGCCAGCAGCCGCGGUAAUACGUAGGGUGCAAGCGUUAAUCGGAAUUACUGGGCGUAAAGCGUGCGCAGGCGGUUUUGUAAGACAGAGGUGAAAUCCCCGGGCUCAACCUGGGAACUGCCUUUGUGACUGCAAGGCUUGAGUGCGGCAGAGGGGGGAUGGAAUUCCGCGUGUAGCAGUGAAAUGCGUAGAUAUGCGGAGGAACACCGAUGGCGAAGGCAAUCCCCUGGGCCUGCACUGACGCUCAUGCACGAAAGCGUGGGGAGCAAACAGGAUUAGAUACCCUGGUAGUCCACGCCCUAAACGAUGUCAACUGGUUGUUGGGAAGGUUCCUUCUCAAUAACGUAGCUAACGCGUGAAGUUGACCGCCUGGGGAGUACGGCCGCAAGGUUGAAACUUAAAUGAAUUGACGGGGUCAUAGCUGUUUCCU
rnacentral:rRNA from 1 species